rnacentral:rRNA from 1 species
GUUUGGUUAAGUUAGAAAGGGCGCACGGUGGAUGCCUUGACACUAGGAGUCGAUGAAGGACGGGACUAACGCCGAUAUGCUUCGGGGAGCUGUAAGUAAGCUUUGAUCCGAAGAUUUCCGAAUGGGGAAACCCACUAUACGUAAUGGUAUGGUAUCCUUACCUGAAUACAUAGGGUAUGGAAGACAGACCCAGGGAACUGAAACAUCUAAGUACCUGGAGGAAGAGAAAGCAAAUGCGAUUUCCUGAGUAGCGGCGAGCGAAACGGAAUCUAGCCCAAACCAAGAGGCUUGCCUCUUGGGGUUGUAGGACAUUCUAUACGGAGUUACAAAGGAACGAGGUAGACGAAGCGACCUGGAAAGGUCCGUCACAGAGGGUAAUAACCCCGUAGUCGAAACUUCGUUCUCUCUUGAAUGUAUCCUGAGUACGGCGGAACACGUGAAAUUCCGUCGGAAUCUGGGAGGACCAUCUCCCAAGGCUAAAUACUCCCUAGUGAUCGAUAGUGAAC